UUCGUCGUGAGGCGGAAUCUGAAGGAAGCUGUAGGCAACUCCUGGCCCGACGAACAGGAACCGCAUAUGAGGCAGCCACAUCUGGGCGAGAGGGCCAUGAAACUCGAAGCCCAAUAGCUAUCCAGAAGAUGUGGAAGUAGAUGCGGCGGGUAGAUGGGAGGAAGGUCGCGCGU
rnacentral:ncRNA from 1 species